rnacentral:rRNA from 1 species
UACGAAGGGUGCAAGCGUUACUCGGAAUUACUGGGCGUAAAGCGUGCGUAGGUGGUUCGUUAAGUCUGAUGUGAAAGCCCUGGCUCAACCUGGGAAUGGCAUUGGAAACUGGCGACCUAGAGUGCGGUAGAGGGUAGUGGAAUUCCCGGUGUAGCAGUGAAAUGCGUAGAGAUCGGGAGGAACAUCCGUGGCGAAGGCGACUACCUGGACCAGCACUGACACUGAGGCACGAAAGCGUGGGAGCAAACAGG